rnacentral:miRNA from 14 species
AGACUGGUUAAUGAUAACAAUGCAUCUUAAAGCCUUCAGAAGGAAAGAAUGUUUUGUGGACCAUUUUGUGUGUGUGGGGGGGCAGUUUUAAGUUAUUAGUUUUCAAAAUCAGU